GUCUAUGGCCAUGCUACCCUGAUCCUGUCUGAUCUCAGAAGCUAAGCAGGGUCGGGCCUGCUUAGCACUUGGAUGGGAGAGUGCUUAGGAAGACCAGGUGCUGUAGACA
rnacentral:rRNA from 1 species